rnacentral:misc_RNA from 1 species
GAUGAAGAACGUAGCGAAAUGCGAUAAGUAAUGUGAAUUGCAGAAUUCAGUGAAUCAUCGAAUCUUUGAACGCACCUUGCGCCCUUUGGCUAUUCCGAAGGGCAUGCCUGUUUGAGUAUCAUGAACACCUCAACUCUUCAUGGUUUUCCAUGAAGGGCUUGGACUUUGGGGGUCUUGCUGGCCUUUAGUCAGCUCCUCUCAAACGAAUCAGCUUUCCAGUGUUUGGCAGCGUCACAGGUGUGAUAACUAUCUACGCUUGUGGUUUUCUGCCAGGUAAUCCUCAGUGAUGGGGAUUCGCUGGGGCUUAUAAAUGUCUCUCCUCAGCGAAGACAGCUUUGUGAACGUUUGAUCUCAAAUCAGGUAGGACUACCCGCUGAACUUAAGCAUAUCAAUAAGCGGAGGA